UUUCCGUAGGUGAGCCUGCGGAAGGAUCAUUCAUAAUAAGUGUUUUAUGGCACUUUUUUAAAUCCAUAUCCACCUUGUGUGCAAUGUCAGGGUUGAUUUUUCUCUCGAGAGGAUCAACCCCAAACAUCAACUAUAUCUCAACUCUUUGUCUGAAAAAUAUUAUGAAUAAAACAAUUCAAAAUACAACUUUCAACAACGGAUCUCUUGGCUCUU
rnacentral:misc_RNA from 1 species